rnacentral:rRNA from 1 species
GGGCCCGCACAAGCGGUGGAGCAUGUGGUUUAAUUCGAUGAUACGCGAGGAACCUUACCAGGGCUUAAAUGUAGUAUGACCGGUCUAGAAAUAGACCUUCUCUUCGGAGCAGAUUACAAGGUGCUGCAUGGUUGUCGUCAGCUCGUGCCGUGAGGUGUUAGGUUAAGUCCUGCAACGAGCGCAACCCCUAUUCUUAGUUGCCAGCGAUUCGGUCGGGAACUAUAAGGGGACUGCCGGUGAUAAACCGGAGGAAGGUGAGGACGACGUCAAGUCAUCAUGGCCCUUACGAGUAGGGCUACACACGUGCUACAAUGGGGAAUACAGACGGACGCUAAGCCGCGAGGUGGUGCU